GAUGAACGCUGGCGGCGUGCCUAAUACAUGCAAGUCGAGCGAAGCGGGGACGGGUGAGUAACCCGUGGAUAACCUCCUAUAAGACUGGGUUAACGUCGGGAAACCGGAGCCAAACCGGAUCCUUAUAGAUGGAUCCUAGCUGCAUUAGCUAGUUGGUACGGAAACGGCUUACCAAGGCAACGAUGCAUAGCCGACCUGAGAGGGUGAUGGGCCACACUGGGACUGAGACACGGUCCAGACGCCUACGGGAGGCAGCAGUAGGGAAUCUUCGGCAAUGGGCGAAAGCCUGACAGAGCAACGCCGCGUGUGUGAUGAAGGUCUUCGGAUCGUAAAACUCUGUUAGUAGGGAAGCGGUACCUAAUCAGAAAGCCACGGCUAACUACGUGCCAGCAGCCGCGGUAAUAC
rnacentral:rRNA from 1 species